rnacentral:rRNA from 1 species
UACAGAGGUCUCGAGCGUUAGGCGGAAUCACUGGGCUUAAAGCGCGUGUAGGCGGCUUUGCAAGUCGGGUGUGAAAGCCCUCAGCUCAACUGAGGAAGUGCGCCCGAAACUGCAGAGCUUGAGUACCGGAGAGGAUGGCGGAAUUCCCCAAGUAGAGGUGAAAUUCGUAGAUAUGGGGAGGAACACCGGUGGCGAAGGCGGCCAUCUGGACGGAUACUGACGCUGAGGCACGAAAGCGUGGGGAGCAAACAGG